rnacentral:rRNA from 1 species
CACGUAGGGCGCAAGCGUUGUCCGGAAUUAUUGGGCGUAAAGAGCUCGUAGGCGGUCUGUUACGUCUGCUGUGAAAACCCUGGGCUUAACCUUGGGCUUGCAGUGGAUACGGGCAGACUAGAGGCAGGUAGGGGAGAAUGGAAUUCCCGGUGUAGCGGUGAAAUGCGCAGAUAUCGGGAGGAACACCGGUGGCGAAGGCGGUUCUCUGGGCCUGACCUGACGCUGAGGAGCGAAAGCGUGGGGAGCGAACAGG